UAUAAUUGGAUUUAUUAUGUACUUCGGGAAAAAAGAAACACAGAAAUAUUUCGGGAUAUUAAUGCGACACACGUCGUCGUUGGCGGUGUGAUUGCACACCAUUACAGAUUUAUGGUAUUGUUUUAAAUUCAUUGAAAUAUGUAUGUAUGUAUGUAUGUGUAAGUGUGUGUUGGUAUUAUCUUUAAUGUGCGCCUAAUAAAAAAAUCGCGCACGUAAUGCGAGAUCUUGACAAAUUUGACACUUUUACUUUCAAGCGUAAGCUGCUAUUAUUGGCUGUUGUUAUUGUUUUAUUGUAGUUGUAUUGUAUAAAGAAGUCAAGCAAUUGUCGGCAGCUUGCUUGUGCAGCGCAUACAGCUACCUUUUGCAUUGUUGUACAACAAGUGUUGAAUAUUAUUUUAUUUGAAGAAAAUAUAAUUUAAAUAAAAAACGAAAUAUUGUUGUUGGCCAUGCUAUUGUUGUAUAUAAUAUUUGUGUGUGCGGCAGCUAAAUGAGGUAGCAAAUGGCUAGGCAGUUAACCAGUUACUGCGCGCCAAUCAAUUAGUAAUUAAUCAGACGUGGUUUGGCAAGAACCGGUUGCCGUCGUAACUGGGCUAAGGCGCUCGACGGCCACAGUGCAGGAAACGUGAACUUGUCUAUUUUCGGCGGUCGUGCUGAUUGUCGAAAAUAUUGUUUAUAUGCACAUUAACCAAAUAUAAAGCUUAAUUUCAAGUGAUUUGUGGCGUUUGUUUUCACACAAUUUUACAUUUCAAUGUAAAGAAAAAUCAAUAUUCAAAUUCAUCAAAAUAUUAAUGGUCAGCGUAAAACAUACCUAAAAACAACUUAAUACCAAAAACUAAGCCAAGCUUAAGCGUAUUUAGUGCAUAUUGUGAUAAAUAAAGAACCAGCAUUAAGUGCAAAGCAGAAAAAUUUGUGCUUACACAAUUUUCGGAAAAGCUGAAUAUUAAAGAAAAUAAUACAAAAAGUCCGGUUGAAGUGACACACAAAUUGCUGCAUAGCAAAAAACGCAAAAGAAAAACCAAAAAGCCGUAAAACAACUAUUUGAAAGUGUAGAAAACUCAUUAUGUUCCAAGUGGAAAAAAAUUAUAUUUCCAGAUAAUUAGUGGCAAGCCAACGAUGCAAGUGAAAAAAAUACUUAAAAAUUAUCAGCAAACAACAAAAAUAGCAUAAAGCAUAGAAGAAAAAACAAAAUUGGUUAACAAAAAACAAUAUUUAAAAACCAAAAUACCGCAUACAUACAAACAUUUCAGUGUAGUGUAGUUGUGUAUUGUGUAAAAAUUAAAGCCGAUUUGUGGAAACUUGCGCGCAUUAAUUGUGAAAAAUUUGCGAAACGAAAUUAGUAACGCAAAGCCAAAAAACAAAAAAAAAAAAACAAA
rnacentral:lncRNA from 1 species